rnacentral:siRNA from 1 species
AGGAAUGUGACCUAACUUAAUCCA